ensembl:lincRNA
GGCUUUUCAAGCCUCUCCCGGCUUCCUCCCCUUUUCUUUCAGGCAUUUCUCCUAAUUAAUUUCUUGCACUUUUAAUGGAUCUUGGUAACAGCUUCUCAGAGGACAGGGAAUAACAUAAGCGGGGAUCCACCAGGAAGCACAGAAAGCACCCAGAGGAGGAGGGACAGGAAACAUGGUAUUGGUUUAAAAACCAAACUCACUUCCCGAAAUACGGGCCACCGUGUGAGGCUUUAAUGAGGCGUUCUCAGGGCUCACAGGGAUGGCUUUGUAAUCUGCGUAAUUGGCCAGGCUGGACUACAUUUCCCAGGAUUCCUUUUCCCUCUAUGUUUCAGGUUAAUAAAGGCUCCAAGGGACGUUGUCUCGCGAGAGAUGGAAGCGGGCAACGGGGCGGCAGCCAUCUUGUAGGGCGCCCUUCCUUGCUGUCGAUCACCCCACUAAAGCUCAGGUUCCUCAGGCUACCAAGAUCAAGGGUCAUUGUCUCACAGAGCGUUGUGGUGGGAAGCAGCGGUGAACAGGAAAAGAACAUAAAGAUGGAGAGUGGAGCUUAGUGUCCUGCACCUGGGAGGAGGGAUGGCAGGACGUCUUCAAGGGCAGCCAGACCCUUGCAGCUCGGGCGGCCUGGCCAAGUCUCAGAGGCAGCUGGUUCCAGAGCUUUCCUCCAUUGGCUGUGUACACAGCCCUACCAAAAGACCACAGGCCUUGGGGCAGCCUGAGCACUGCCAUGCUCCUGACCGAUGCCCGGAUGAGUGCCUCCUGUGCCCCUCACACUGUUGCCUGUGGGAUCAGCCAGCCCGGAGUUGCUCAGGCCCACGCACCCAAUGUUACAAACCAAAGUGAUGGAACUGGUGGCUCUUUGAAGAUGCUGGGAAAGGUGGGAAAGACGACCGACCGCCUACAAUGCUGGAAACAGGGAGGGGCUGGGUGGAUUCUGAGAUCACAGGUGCCGUGCUAGCAAGAGUGUCUGCUGCCUUUCCCUGCAGAAGCUUAUUAGCUCAGUAUUCCUGGCACCCACCGAUUGGAAUCACCCAGAAGCUUUUCAAACAGCACAGAUGACGAGAUGGUGCCUCCGACUGAUUAAAUCAGAGGGUCCAGAGGUUGGGCCCGGGGAAUAAGUAUUUUUUAAAUGCUUCUCCGGUGAUUCCAAAGUGCAGCCACGGUUGAGAACCAUCCGUUCAACCACAUUUAAAGGACUCUUGCCAGUUACCUACUGAACUCUCUAAUUAUCAGCUUCCAGGGCCAUGGACAAUUCCUGUGGAUAGAGAGGAACUCUUUGUGCACCAGAACAUGAUAUUUGCUUUGCUCUGCAAUCCUUUUCAGUUAUUAGGAGCUCCCUCCUGCACCCCCCGCCCCAAGCUGAUAGUUAACUACUGGUAAUAAUUGUCUCAAUCAUUUUUGUGUGUGUGUGCUAAUUCUUACUAAAGUGUCAGUGUGAAUUAAAUUCUCCCACCCAAAGAGAUUUCUACUCCAUAGUGGUGCAGCUGAUGUCCCUUCCGAAAAAUACUUUUUUCUAGGGAAGACCAUUUAUGUAUAGGAGGAUAGCACGUGUUCUCCUGUACCCUUUUAGAGCCUCUCCACUUUGAUGUAUGGCUUCACUUGGUGGUUUCGGAAUAUUUCAAAGAUCAUAAAGAUCCAAAUGCAGAUGAACAAGAAAGAAGAAGCUUCCUACUCAAAU